rnacentral:lncRNA from 1 species
CGCGGUGUGCGCAGCUAGCAGGGAGAGGCAGGGCCCCUGACACGGCUCCGUCGCGCCAUUAGAUGCAGCACUGGGCACAGAAGUCGGCUCAGCGAUUCCGUUUACUGGAGAGUCAGCAGGAGAGUAAGAGAUGGGAAUCCACAGAAAGAUAUCCUGUGGCAUUGGAAGCUCUACGUAGCUCCCUUGGGGAAUGUGAUCCUGUGGUGUUUGCAGCCUGUGCUUGCCCACCGCGUCGUAAAGGCGGGAACGUGCGUUUUAGAGUCCAGGGAAUCUCCCCGCCAAAACCCAGCGCUUUCCAAGUGUGUGAGAUGGAUGAGUCUUCAGCGAAGAUCCAUUGCAAAAAAAGACAACAUAUACUAUUAAGGCAACUCAAGGGUUACAUCGUAAACAAGUAAACUUGAAUGCUAUUUAGUCAAAUACUCUGAAUGGAAUUAAAUUUUAGAGUUGGCAUUAAUGACUUUUUCAGCCUUUCCUUCUCCCUCCCCCGAAAAUAUUAUUGUUCUGAUCUCAAUGUCAGUAAUAUAUACGGAGAAUAUGCUUAUGGCUGUCCCAUUCCUUCUUUCUAACGAUGUUUAAAUUGAAAAUGCUGAAGUCAGGCGUGCCUUUUCCCACUCGGAAGAUAUAAGCAUUCUCGGUCAAUUAGAGGAGUGUAUGCUAAUAUAAUGCAAAGAUACAGACAGAAAGUCCCAACGUGGGGCUAUUUACCUCUUCACUCAGAUAAGAGUGUACCCGCCAAUGCACAAGAAUUAGGGUAAGAGAUCCUUCUCCCCAGACCAAGCUGCACGCUCCGUCGCCAAAGCCUGGACACUCUUCCCCUGCUGCAGUGUCAUACUGCACCAGGGCCCUAGGACAAACCCUUCCCACUCAAGCCUCCAGCCACUUCACGGCAUAUUCCUUCCACUUGUUUUCCUUACCAUCUCUCCUAGGGAGUCAGGCAAGCAGGAUGCGGUGACAAUGGAAUACAGGGAUGGCAUUGAGGACUUGAGGGACAAAAGAGUGACCUUAACCAAGGGGGACUGCCAAAAGUGAACAGAUUUGGGUGGGAGAAGGAGGCUGAAGAGAAGAAGCCUCAAACAUCUAGAGUCUAAAGUAACAAGAGGUUUAGUCACCACGGGAAAUGCAGAUCUGGAACUCCAGAGAGACGUCAAAAGCUCCUAGGAACUGUUUAUUUAAUCAUUAUAUUUACUGAAUUCCCUGCUUUGUCUUAGAUGGACAGAUUCGCUUGUGAGUGACAGGAAUACAAUGAACAAAACAAAGUCCCUAAUCUAAGGCUUACAUGCUAGGGAAGGAAGACAAGAAGUAAACAAAUAGACAAUCUAAAAAUUCACCCUAUGAUGUCAGGUAGGGAUAAGUACUAUGUAAAAAAAGAGGGGGGGGAGUCUCAGCAGGGCAAGAUAGAGAAGGUGGAGAACUCCUUUCUGAGAAGUGACAUUUGAACAGAGACCUGAAUGAAAUGCAGGAAGACGGCAUGACCCAGAAAGAGUUUAUGCAGUAAGAAAAAAGGCUCCAGAGCAACCAGUGUCGUUCACCCUUUCAUCAUCUUCAACUGGAUGAGGACAGUCGCCUACUACUGGGUCUCUCUCCUCUAGUUUCUCUCUCAAAUCCAUUCCCCAGUCUGCCACACAUUCAGGUUUGGAAUUGGUGACUUUUGUUUACUGAUGCAUCCCCAACACCUGGAAAAGGUCCUAACACAAAAUAGGCUCUCAAUAAAAAGGGAGGGGGGAAGGAAGAAAGGUAAGACAGGAGGAAAGGAAGAAAGAGUAUCUGGAAAAAAAGAUAAAAGUAGAAAGAAAUAAUCUCAAACUUUAUCCAUAGUUCUAACACCUCAAUGCAAGCAGUUAUGUUUGCACAUUGCUACAAUUUAAGGAAUUUUAAUAUGAUCGCUAUUAUACUACAGGAACAAUUUAAAAUCCCAAUUUUCCCCUAUAUUAUUUCAUAGAACUUUUCAUUUUAUAACAUUUUUAUCAUUGUAUAAACAUCAUUUCUCAUAACUAUGAGGUAUUUCAUUGAGAAAAAAUACCUUAGUUUACUUAGUCCUGUU